AUGUAGUUGCGCCACUUCUAAAUCGAAACGUGUGUUUAUUUCAAGGCUGUAAUUUUGUGGGAUUUCAACGACACCACAUCUAGAAACAGAAAUCAUAUUUAACACGGAGCACAAUGCGCAGGACAGUCUAUCGGCACUAACAGAUUUGACUGGGGCAAACCUUCCUCCCUGAAGUAACCCACGACGUAUGAACUCAGAUUUCGCAAAGUAAAACAUGCCAUUUUCUACCAGUUCACCGGGCCAGUCUUGUCUUCUUGGUCUUCGUUUUGGAUUAAAGUUCAAUGGUUUAACGGUCCCAUCUGAAAAUAAUCCGUGUCGCAAAUGAACACUAUUGUUAAUAUUGUACAUCCGUCGUAAGCCAGGAAAUGGUUUACAGAGUUUCAAUAUUGAGGACUGAAAUGAAGCAAUCUAUUUAUUUAAUUCUGCAUGAAGAACAUACAAGCCAGUCGAUUUUUCUUCCCUACAUGAAAAACAUCUCACAAAGAACAAAUGCGCUUUCAUAUUUACGAAAUCAUGUUGCCCAUCGUAAUUUAUCGGUGGUUAUUUUAGCAAUUGCAUAACUGACUUACAAGUCCCAAACUUUUACACGAACAUUUAACAAAAACAUUACACACAGUAAAAAUUUACAGUUCUUUCAAAUUCAUGAAAGGGCGGAAACAUCUUAAACCAAUACCUACAUGUACCAUCUGUAACAGCGUGCAUAUUAUAUAAUAUGCUCUGCAUGUAGACUAUGAUUCGCUUAAAAUGAAUCACAGGGCAACGAAUUGUAAAGGGAAAGGAAGAUGAUAUGUUUGCAGGAUAUGAAAAUAACUAAUCCUGGGGAACUAAACUUAUACCUGUAAUCACAUAUAUUCUGAAAAUAUAUUUAAUGUGUGUUCCUUUUUCUCUGUAAGGAAAUGCUUUUUCAGUCUUCAUGACCAAUUUCUUCAAAACUUGUUACUGUAUGAUACAUUUUAUAGUCCUGGCCACAUUCAUUGACACUGGCUUUUUGACUUAGAUGGAGGGGGUAUUAAAAACUCACAUCAGUGUCGAUUUUGCUCUAGUUUUAUUUGCCAGCAAGAUUUUGGAGCCAACUAAAUUUGUUCUCAUAGCUACGUAACAUAAUACAGUUACAGAACUAUUGCAGGCCCAGAACAUCUUUGUUGUUAUAAUGUUUAAAGACAUUUCUAUUCAAACCAGUUAAUAGGAGAGGUGGUGUAUCUCUCGAUAACUUUCAACCUAUAUCACUUUCACCUAUAUGCCUAAUAUAAAAAAAAUGAUUGCUGCAUGUAUAACUGCAGAAGCCAACAUUGUUAAUAUACUUAGCUCCUUACCACAUACGUUCAGGUCCAGCCUUUCUACAGUUGAAGUGGUUGAGAGCAUAUCAUAUAGCAGUUUUGGAAAUAUGAAAGAAUCCGUGCACUGCUGUUGUGCCUGAAGCAGUACUGUAUGGAGAUGAUAAUACUUAUCACAUGUGAUACCAACUUUGAAAAUGUGCAACAGUGUGGUGGUAGUGAUGGAGAGAGAGUACAACUGGUUUCACACAACUGCACAACAGAAAAAUGAUAGUAAAACUGAAUAAAUCAUAUCCAGUUUGACUGUUCAGUCAUGGUGAAAAACUAUUUAGCACAUAAAACAAAAGCUAAGCUGAUUUGCGCAUAAAGGAAAAUUAUGUGCAUUAAAGGAAAGCUAAGAAGCUGGUGUCAGUGAAGAAUUACUACUUGUAUAAACAUGAUUUGCAUUAUUCCAUUUUCUCUUGAGUCAUGGAAGACUACUUUUAGUAUGCAGCAACAUUGGAGGCCAAAUAUUUGUGUUUAAAUGAUAAAAGAAAGUAAUCAGCUGCAUUGUAGGACUAAGCACACACAAAACAUGUAGAGACUAUUUCAAACAACUGAACAUAAUAUAGUUCUUUGCAUGUAUAACUGCUUGUCUUUGAUAAAGAAACCAAGUAUGUUUGAUCUAAGGAGGUCAAUGCAAUUAGGCACUGAAUUAACAUUCCUUAUGCUAGGCGGAAAUAACCGAUAACAGCUACAAACAUCUUAAGUCUUAUCUAUUUCAACAAAUAGCUUUAGUGCCUACAUAAUACCAUUAAACAAAUUUAAAAUUGUCGCAAAAUGGGCGAAAAAACAAACAAUUUUAUUCAGCUCAAGAGUUCCAGAAGCAUGACCCAAAUUUCUUAUAUCAAUGAAUAUAAAUAAACGACAGACUGUAUUAAAUAACUAAUUCAUUCUGUGACCUACUUUAUUACUACCUUGUACUUCUUGUCAUUCAGCUAACUAAUUACUUUGUUGGAUUACACUGAAUAUAUGUAAAAUUCUCAAAGGUGAUAAAGUUUUUCUUCUGUAUUCCUUUAAGGAAAAGCAUAAUAUAAAACCAUUUUUGGCAGAUAAAAUUUAAUAUUAUUCAUUUGUCCUGAGUAAAAAUUGUUUCCUUGAAGGUGCAGCAUAACAUAUCACUAUGUGCAACAGACGUACUUUUAAUGUGCCACAGAUACAAUAUGAAAUGUACAUCUUUAAUUGUGGAAGCUCUUAUACAUAUAGAUAAUAGUUGUUUAGACUAUUUUCAGGUAGAACCUGCUUUCAGGUACAACUAAAAAGGUAUUUUUAAUUUAGUUCUAAAAUAUACCUACCCCUGUUUACAGUGCCUGAUAGGGAUCAACCAAUGAGCAACACAUUCAAUUUCUUUCUGAACACAUGUGAGUUAUAAAUGUCCUGUUUUAUGUUGAAAGGAAUCAUGUAGAUGUUAAUACAGGCAGUGUAAACUUAUAUUUUUGUCAGUUUUACAGCUUUGUGUAAGCUCUGCUUCUAGCUCAAGAUUAUGAAUGUUACCAUUUGUCCAAAAAUAUUAUUCUAUUAUUAUAUGAACAGUGUUAUAAUGUAUUUAACUGUAAAUAUCAUGAGUAUCUUUAAACAACACCUACAAGAUGUCUUGUUAAUAUUUUACAAAUCUGCUCACUUUUGUAGCACACCUUUAUCGAGUCCUUGCAGUAUUUUCCCAAAAUAUUAUUCCAUGUAACAGUCAAAUGUAUAAAGUAUGAGAAGAACAUAUCAGUCUACAAAUACAGUAAAAAACUAGGACUUGGUGGAAAGCAUCAAUUUUCUGCCCAUUAAAAUUAAUUACAUACACAGUUCUAUUGAGUUUA